GAGCCCCCCACCCGGGCACUCCGCGCAGCUGCCUUCCCAACGGGCUAUAAAAGCCCACAGCCAGACCCAGGGCAGCUUUCCUGGACCCCGGGCUUGCCCAGGUGACCUAAGGGACAGAAAUGCAGCUGCCAUGAACAUUUCGAGGUCCAGCAACAGUCUUUACAAAAAGUAAAUAGAGGAAGUGGUGAGAAAAUGAUCGAACCGAAACUAGAAGGGACGCUGGAGAAGUAGAAGGUAAUUAGUUGAAUUGGUCUCUGGCUGGGUCUCAGGGGCUCGCCCGGUGCAAGGAGAGAUUGAAAAUGUGAGCUGUAUUUUGCUGAAUAUGCCUAACCAGCCAAGAUUUGUUUUCUGUUAGCACAAGCAGAGAGAUGGGAAGCGAACGAGAUAGCUGCUCCAAAGAGACAGAUAAACUGACCGUUCAGGAUGCUACAAUCUGACUAACUAGAGCUCAGACGCACGCAUAAACCUCAGCCUGGAAGCACAGCUGGGGAUUUCUCCAGGAAAAGCCAGCCUCUUCCAUGAUCGCUUGCAGCUAAGCGCCUCAAUCCCCAUUCUCUCUAACUGGGCCGUUUCCAGUGUGCUCGCAGCCCAGUUUAGAUCCUGUCUAUAUCUGCGGCAAGUUUCAAGGGAAGCUAUAGUGGACUCCAGCGCCAUUGCUUGCAACAGGUGCAAUCUGUAGAGAGGCAAUUGUUCUUAAAUUAUUUACUUACUGCACUCUGAUUUCCCCCCACCCUAUUAAAUUCUGAAUCAGCUGGCUUCUGACUGCUUGCAAUUUGACCUUUUUUUCCCCUAAACAUGUGCACGAAUUCAGCAACCUGAUAGGCCGGCACUGAUUCCUUUGGGGAUCGAAUUAAGGUGGGAUUUCUGAUUGGUUCCCAGUCUCUGACUUGAAGGGGGAUUUCCCUGCCUCAGGAGGUUUUCCUGAUUUUUGCCAAUAUUUUCAAGAGUCUGAAAACAUCCCAAAUCAGAGUGCAAGGUGGAAAUCUCAAUUUUUUUUUUUUUGUGAACUGGGGAA